rnacentral:rRNA from 1 species
AACGAACGCUGGCGGCAGGCUUAACACAUGCAAGUCGAACGCCCCGCAAGGGGAGUGGCAGACGGGUGAGUAACGCGUGGGAACAUACCCUUUUCUCAGGAAUAGCUCUGGGAAACUGGAAUUAAUACCGUAUACGCCCUACGGGGGAAAGAUUUAUCGGGGAAGGAUUGGCCCGCGUUGGAUUAGCUAGUUGGUGGGGUAAAGGCCUACCAAGGCGACGAUCCAUAGCUGGUCUGAGAGGAUGAUCAGCCACAUUGGGACUGAGACACGGCCCAAACUCCUACGGGAGGCAGCAGUGGGGAAUAUUGGACAAUGGGCGCAAGCCUGAUCCAGCCAUGCCGCGUGAGUGAUGAAGGCCUUAGGGUUGUAAAGCUCUUUCACCGAUGAAGAUAAUGACGGUAGUCGGAGAAGAAGCCCCGGCUAACUUCGUGCCAGCAGCCGCAGUAA